GGUCCCUCAGCCCCUCAGUGCCCUCCCGGAGCCCUUUACCUGAAAGGGACCCUGAGAGAACGGACGACAGGAGCCGAGUCGAAAGCAGUGUCCGCGCCGGAGGUCAGCGCCGAAGGCGGGCCCCGGCGUCUAGGGACCACAGAGCGGCGACGCGGCCAGCCGCGCACGGGCCAUUCCGCCGCCGCGAACGCAGAAAGCCUCGAUCGCGCUCCGAGUCCAGCCAGCUCGCCUGUCACCUCGAUCUCUGCUUUAAGUGGCUUCCGGUCGCCUCCUCCCGACGGCCGGUCGCGGAGGCGGAGCCUAGGAGGCCGGAGCGCGGUGGGGUGGGGUGAGGAGGCCGGGCGCUCAGUGGGUGCCGAGAAGAAGACCCGCCCCCUGCGCGCGCGUGCGCGUUCGUUCCAGGGGAGGUGCGCGGGUUGUGUGCCGUGGACUUGUAUUCCCGCGAGGGGGCGUGUCCUUUCUCGCGCCGGCGGUGUCCCCGCGGGUCCGCGUCUCCACGCGGCUGUGAGAAAGGAAGGCGUGUGCCGCGUGGGACGGGUUCCACCUGCCUGCGGACAGAUGACGCCUCCAGCCCCUGAUGUCGACGCACCCUGUGAGGAAGCAAACGGUUGCCUCCGCCACUGCCACCAGACGAGGUCGCCUGCCCCGCGCGGGACAAGCCGGACGGGCCGCGCACCUGCGGCGGCCGACUGUUUCGUGGGCCUUGUACGCCACCUUGCAGAAGGGGAACCUAGCUCUCAGAAUAAUAACAGGAUGGAGAUGGAGUUUCAUGACAAAAAGGAAGGUGAAUAUGAUGUGGAAAAUAUAAAGAUGGAAACAACAAACUAAGGAUGCUGGGGCAGAAAGAUAGAAGGAAACUGGGUCACUCAUAACAUCUUGAAACUGCUGUAGCCAUCCUAGACUGGCUGCCUCUAGACUUAAUAUGUUUAAAAAGUAAAUCCCAAUUUUAUUAAACUGUUACCUGUUCUGUAUAGAUGAACACAUUCUUAGCUAAUAAACUAUCAUGUCUCCUAACUAGUCGUCUUCUA
ensembl:lncRNA